CCUCUGGGGAGGCCAAGCAGCAACGUUGCUUGUGUUGAUAGCAGCAGACAACAGCAGGCAGCAGGACCUGGGCCUCCAUGUGGGCUUCCUCUUUCAGGAACCAGCUGUGUCGGCCUGUAGCCACUUUUUCCCCUCCUGCAUUCUCCGCUCUAAGUGCAUAACAGCAGCUGGUGCCCGGUGCUAUGAGGACUGAAGAAUCAGGGUCAGGGUACCCUGUUCUGGAUACUGCAUCAUGGAGAUCCUCUCAUUAGGAGCAGCCGACCCUACGAUGAUUGGCCCCCAACACCAAGCACCUGAGCACUGUUCUGUGGCUGGCUCUGUUCCAACAGUAAAGCUGCUUCUGCUUCUAUUUUCAUUACCACUGCAGCUGUUCAGGACAUGAACAAGGGGAGCUGAUGCCUAUCUUCAGUGGUCUACAGGCAAGAGACAGGGUACACCCUGGACAGGUCGCCAGUCCAUUACUGGGCAAAACACGGAAAGAGAGGACCAACAACCAUGCACACCUACGGGAAACUUAGAGAGAACCUAACAGUCAUGUUUUUGGACUGUGGGAGGAAGUAAGUGGAGUGAAAAAGAUGAACUAUCAUUAAGAGCAAUUGCAUACAUAGGUUCAUCUUUAUUAGGGAAGUCAAACCCCAAGUAGCAGCUCAGCAUUCUGAUCAAGUCCAUUAAAUAAUAUUUUCCCUAGUGGGUGAUUUUACUUAACCUUCGAACUCUGUUUUCACCCUGCUGCCUGUGGUUUUAUGCAUCUAACAAAGUGGCUGUAAAAGGUUUUCUUGAAAAGGGUUGACUAGAGUUGCGGACAUGCUUGUGGUUUGAAACAAUUUUUUACCAAAAAUAAAAGCAGUUCGGUCACCAGUUGGCAGUUUGGG